rnacentral:rRNA from 1 species
UUUAUGGAGAGUUUGAUCCUGGCUCAGGAUGAACGCUGGCGGCGUGCCUAAUACAUGCAAGUCGAGCGAACAGAUGAGGAGCUUGCUCCUCUGACGUUAGCGGCGGACGGGUGAGUAACACGUGGAUAACUUACCUAUAAGACUGGGAUAACUACGGGAAACCGGAGCUAAUACCGGAUAAUAUAUUGAACCGCAUGGUUCAAUAGUGAAAGACGGUUUUGCUGUCACUUAUAGAUGGAUCCGCGCCGCAUUAGCUAGUUGGUAAGGUAACGGCUUACCAA